CACCAAUGUGUGUGGUCCUGUCCAUGCCUGAGCAGGCAGCUGUGGCAUGGAGGCAGGGGGAAGGACCAUGACUUCGAACAGGAGAACUUUAUUCCUGCUACCCCAAACAUAACUUUAUCACAACAUUUUAGAAACAUUCUGUUCUAAAAAAUAGAGAACACUAUGGUAGUGAUGGACAAUCUGGAACAGAUAGAGUAUCAGUUCCAAGGAACAAUGGCAAGCAAGAUCUACUGAACAGCAGAAAGCAAACUCCUACACUGAAUACAACUGUUAAUCUGAGGAAGAUUGUUACAAAAUUAUAUUUAGCUGUAUGAUCAAGCUCCAACCAACAUUGCAUCAAGAUGAUGGAAAUCAGAUCUGGAUAACAAAUAAAGCUAAUGGAUACAUUUUAGCUUUAUGUUUAUUAUUAAGAAUAGGCUCUAUGCUUUGCUGUACAUAGUUAAAGUGCU